UAAAGGGYGCGUAGGYGGUUAAUUAAGUCAGGAUGUGAAAUCCCCGGGCUUAACCUGGGAAYUGCAUUUGAAACUGAUUGGCUAGAGUACGGGCAGAGGGAAGUGGAAUUUCCGGUGUAGCGGUGAAAUGCGUAGAUAUCRGAAGGAACACCAGUGGCGAAGGCGACUUCCUGGCCCGUUACUGACACUGAKGCRCGAAAGCGUGGGGAGCGAACAGGAUUAGAUACCCUGGUAGUCCACGCCGUAAACGAUGAGAACUAGAUGUUAGGUGGCUUAUACCAUUUAGUAUCGCAGCAAACGCGUUAAGUUCUCC
rnacentral:rRNA from 1 species